rnacentral:rRNA from 1 species
AUGGCUGGCCCACCGGCGAGCCCCUCCGGUGACGGCGGCAUCCCCACGGCCGGCGGCAUCAGGGAGGAGCGGGACGUGUUCGUGCCCGUCGCGGAUAUCACCCGCAUCAUGGGGAAGUUAAACCUGACUUCUCGUUCGAAACCGCUCUCUGCUAUCGACUUCUCCCACGAUCUCACCUCGCUCGCUUCUCGUACCAAGGGUUUGGGGUUUGGGUUCGCUGGGUCGCCCCUGAUUGAUCUGGUCCUUCGGUCGGUGCGGCGGGGGCGCAUGGCCGGCCCACCGGCGAGCCCCUCCGGCGACGGCGGCAUCCCCACGGCCGGCGGCAUCGGGGAGGAGCGGGACGUGUUCGUGCCCGUCGCGGAUAUCAGCCGCAUCAUGGGGAAGGUCAUCCUGCCAGACGGGAGGAUCGAUGAGGGGGCCGUGCGGGAGCUGGCCUCCGAGUUCAUCACCCGCCGGGCGAGCGGCGAGAGCGACGGAUGCAAGAGGGCGAAGCGGGAGGCCAUGACCGUCGACGACCUGCUGUCCGAGAUGGCGAAGCAGGGGUUUCAGGACCACAUCGAACCCCUCAAGGCCUGCCUGCACAAGUACAGAGUGGCGCGUAUACUGGUUUGA